rnacentral:rRNA from 1 species
AUUGAACGCUGGCGGCAGGUCUAACACAUGCAAGUCGAACGAGUGGCGGACGGGUGAGUAAUGUCUGGGAAACUGCCUGAUGGAGGGGGAUAACUACUGGAAACGGUAGCUAAUACCGCAUACCAUCGGAUGUGCCCAGAUGGGAUUAGCUAGUAGGUGGGGUAAAGGCUCACCUGGGCGACGAUCGCUAGCUGGUCUGAGAGGAUGAUCGGCAACACUGGGCCGGGGAAACGGCCCAGACCCCUCGGGGAGGAAGAAGUGGGAAAUUUUGGAAAAGGGGCGAAAGCCGAGUCAAGACAGGCGGCGUGUCUGAGGAGGGCUUUGGGGUGUAAAAGGACUUUUGUCAGGAAAGCGGUACCUGAAGAAUAAGCACCGGCUAACUACGUGCCAGCAGCCGCGGUAAUUC